rnacentral:rRNA from 1 species
AUUGAACGCUGGCGGCAGGCUUAACACAUGCAAGUCGAACGAGUGGCGGACGGGUGAGUAAUGCUUGGGAAUCUGGCUUAUGGAGGGGGAUAACUACGGGAAACUGUAGCUAAUACCGCGUACCAUAGGAUGAGCCCAAGUGGGAUUAGGUAGUUGGUGAGGUAAAGGCUCACCAAGCCGACGUUCUCUAGCGGGUCUGAGAGGAUGACCGGCCACACUGGGACUGGUACACGUCCCGGUCUCCUACGUGAGGCGGCAGUGGGAAAUAUUGCGCAUUGGGGGCAACCUGACGCACCCAUGCCGCGUGAAUGAAGAAGUCCUUCGGGUUGUAAAGUUCUUUCGGUAGCGAGGCGUUAACUACAGAAGAAGCACCGGCUAACUCCGUACCAUCAGCCGCGUAAUUU